rnacentral:rRNA from 1 species
UACAGAGGAGGCAAGCGUUAUCCGGAAUUAUUGGGCGUAAAGCGUCCGCAGGUGGCACUUCAAGUCUGUCGUCAAAGACUGGGGCUUAACCCCGGAAAGGCGGUGGAAACUGAAGCGCUAGAGUGCGGUAGGGGUAGAGGGAAUUCCCGGUGUAGCGGUGAAAUGCGUAGAGAUCGGGAAGAACAUCGGUGGCGAAAGCGCUCUACUGGACCGCAACUGACACUCAGGGACGAAAGCUAGGGGAGCGAAUGGG